UGGGGAAUAUUGCGCAAUGGGCGAAAGCCUGACCCAGCAACGCCGCGUGAAGGAUGAAGUAUUUCGGUAUGUAAACUUCGUAAGAAUAGGAAGAAUAAAUGACGGUACUAUUUGUAAGGUCCGGCUAACUACGUGCCAACAGCCGCGGUAAUACGUAGGGACCAAGCGUUGUUCGGAUUUACUGGGCGUAAAGGGCGCGUAGGCGGUGUGUCAAGUCAGUUGUGAAAUCUCCGAGCUUAACUCGGAACGGUCAACUGAUACUGUCACACUAGAGUACAGAAGGGGCAAUCGGAAUUCUUGGUGUAGCGGUGAAAUGCGUAGAUAUCAAGAGGAACACCUGAGGCGAAGGCGGGUUGCUGGGCUGAUACUGACGCUGAGGCGCGAAAGCUAGGGUAGCAAACGGGAUUAGAUACCCCAGUAGUCCCUGAGCGGGCUGGCAAGGCGCAU
rnacentral:rRNA from 1 species